AAAAAGGUAAACCCUAAAUUUCCGUGCCAACGUUUGACUGUCUGUCUUAUAUGAAAUUUUUUUAUAAUUAGUAUUUUCAUUGUUAUUAUAUGAUAAAACAUGAUUAAUAUUUUAUGCGUGACUUAUUUUUUAAUUUUUUUUAUAAUUUUUUAAAUAAGACGGACAGUCAAACAUUGGACACGGAAAUCAGGGUUUGUCUUUUU
rfam:Oryza barthii chromosome 1, whole genome shotgun sequence.